rnacentral:lncRNA from 1 species
AAAUAUGUUGAACACAUAUGCUCUUCACAUUUGCAAGGUACACUAAUAUGAAGUCAAAAUCCUAGGACUCGCAUGUUUUUCCCUUUACCUCAACAAACUUGUAUUUUUUUACUUCGAUUUCAAAGACCCUGAUUUUUUUAGAAAUAAGGGGUUCUAGCAUCAGUACUACCCCGUAUAAUCAAAUUCCGAACGUUCGGCAUCUAUCAUUUUCAAAUACAAUUUGGG